GCAAGUCGAGCGAGAAAUUGAGUGCUUGCACUUAAUGGAAAGCGGCGAACGGGUGAGUAAUAUGUUGGUAUCUGCCCCUUGGUCAGGGAUAGCCCACUGAAAAGUGGAUUAAUACCGGAUAGUCUCUUCGGAGUAAAAAUUUAUUGCCAAGGGAGGAGCCUUCAUUCUAUCAGCUUGUUGGGGAGGUAACGGAGGACCAAGGCUAUGACGGAGAGCUGGUCUGAGAGGAUGAGC
rnacentral:rRNA from 1 species